GCCCUGGUGUGCUAAGUGGUUAAAGCUUCAGCCCCCGCACAAAAGGGUUGUGGGUUCAAUUCCCAGUCAAGGGCA
rnacentral:tRNA from 1 species